rnacentral:rRNA from 1 species
GACUACUAGGGUAUCUAAGCCUGUUCGCUCCCCACGCUUUCGUGCCUCAGCGUCAAUUCAGGUCCAGUCAGCUGCCUUCGCAAUCGAUGUUCCAUGGCAUAUCUAAGCAUUUCACCGCUACAUGCCACAUUCCGCCAACCUCAACCUCAUUCAAGUCAUACAGUAUCAAUGGCAAUCCCAUAGUUAAGCUACGGCCUUUCACCACUGACUUAUACAACCGCCUACGCACCCUUUAAACCCAGUGAUUCCGGAUAACGCUUGCACCCUCCGUAUUACCGCGGCUGCUGGCACGGAGUUAGCCGGUGCUUAUUCUAAUGGUACCGUCAGUUCCUCACAAGUGAGGCUUUUUCGUCCCAUUCAAAAGCAGUUUACAGGGCAGAGCCCCUUCAUCCUGCACGCGGGAUGGCUGGUUCAGAGUUCCCUCCAUUGACCAAUAUUCCUUACUGCAGCCCCCCGUAGG